rnacentral:rRNA from 1 species
UUAAAUUAAAACGGUGACACAAAAUCGGAGGCUCCGACUGUUUACUAAAAACACAGAUCACUGCAAUGAUUAAUAUCAUAGUAUAGUGGUUGAAAUUUGCCCGAUGCCAUUAAUAUAAGAGAGGUAAUGGGAAACUGUUACUAAUUGAAAAUCUGGUUAAUAGCGGUCUUAACUAUGAGGAUCCUAAGGUAGCAAAAUAAAUUGGCCAUUAAAUGUGGUCCGGUAUCAAUAAUGUAACGAUAGCCUCACUGUCUCUACAACUUGCUCAGUGAAAUUGAAUUAUCCGUGCAGAUGCGGAUUACCUCCAGGUGGACGGGAAGAC